CGACCGGCGCACGGGUGAGUAACGCGUAUGCAACCUGCCCGAUACCGGGGUAUAGCCCAUGGAAACGUGGAUUAACACCCCAUAGUACUUUUAUCCUGCCUGGGAUGUGAGUUGAAUGUUCAAGGUAUCGGAUGGGCAUGCGUCCUAUUAGUUAGUUGGCGGGGUAACAGCCCACCAAGACGAUGAUAGGUAGGGGUUCUGAGAGGAAGGUCCCCCACAUUGGAACUGAGACACGGUCCAA
rnacentral:rRNA from 1 species